rnacentral:tRNA from 1 species
UGUGUUGUGGCUAGUGCUAAAGCACUUGCCUCACAUGUGUGAGGCACUGAGUUCGAUCCUCAGCACCACAU